AGGUGAACCUGCGGAAGGAUCAUUGUCGAAACCUGCAAGGCAGACCGCGAACGCGUGCUUAACGUCGGCGCCGCGGCUCCGGCCGCGACGCCUCUGCCCCCCUGCGGCUGCGGGGGGGCCAACGAACCCCGGCGCGGAACGCGCCAAGGAAGACUGAAACGAAGCGCCCUCCCCUGCCCGUGCCCCGUUCGCGGUGCGCUCGGGCGGGGGGAAGGCUGCGCCUCACGUAUGUGUCAAAACGACUCUCGGCAACGGAUAUCUCGGCUCUCGCAUCGAUGAAGAACGUAGCGAAAUGCGAUACUUGGUGUGAAUUGCAGAAUCCCGUGAACCAUCGAGUCUUUGAACGCAAGUUGCGCCCGAAGCCCUCGGGCCGAGGGCACGCCUGCCUGGGCGUCACGCAUCGCGUCGCCCCCCGCCCCCCCCUGCCCGCCCGCUCCGGGCGGGGCGCGGGGGCGGACACUGGCCUCCCGUGCGCCUCCGUCGCGCGGCCGGCCCAAAUGCGAUCCCCCGGCGGCGCCAGUCGCGACCAGUGGUGGUUGAAUUGUCCUCAACUCGCGUGCUGUCAGUCGUGCGGAGCGGCGUCGUCCGGCCAGGGCAUCAUCGGCGACCCAAUCGGCGCCUCGGCGCUUCCGACCGCGACCCCAGGUCAGGCGGGAUUACCCG
rnacentral:rRNA from 1 species